rnacentral:snoRNA from 1 species
CUGCUGUAAGUGUCUGUCCCUGUAUCAUAACCUAUGUGGUUUGCUCUGGGAUGGAAAUGCCCAUUUGCACCUGGUUGAUUCAGCUGUGCGUGAUUUAAACGGGUCUCCGA